rnacentral:rRNA from 1 species
UUCCGGUUGAUCCUGCCGGACCUGACUGCUAUCGGAUUGAUACUAAGCCAUGCGAGUCUUUGUAGCAAUACAAGGCAGACGGCUCAGUAACACGUAGUCAAUCUACCCUAUGGACGGGGAUAACCUCGGGAAACUGAGAAUAAUACCCGAUAGAUCAUUAUGCCUGGAAUGGUUUAUGGUUCAAAUGAUUUUUCGCCAUAGGAUGGGACUGCGGUCUAUCAGCUUGUUGGUGAGGUAAUGGCCCACCAAGGCUAUAACAGAUACGGGCUCUGAGAGGAGAAGCCCGGAGAUGGGUACUGAGACACGGACCCAGGUCCUAUGGGGCGCAGCAGGCGAGAAAACUUUGCAAUGUGCGAAAGCACGACAAGGUUAAUCCGAGUGUUUUCUGCUAAAGAAAUCUUUUGUCAGUCCUAAAAACACUGACGAAUAAGGGGUGGGCAAGUUCUGGUGUCAGCCGCCGCGGUAANACCAGCACCUCAAGUGGUCAGGAUGAUUAUUGGGCCUAAAGCAUCCGUAGCCGGCUCUGUAAGUUUUCGGUUAAAUCUGUACGCUCAACGUACAGGCUGCCGGGAAUACUGUAGAGCUAGGGAGUGGGAGAGGUAGACGGUACUCGGUAGGAAGGGGUAAAAUCCUUUGAUCUAUUGAUGACCACCUGUGGCGAAGGCGGUCUACCAGAACACGUCCGACGGUGAGGGAUGAAAGCUGGGGGAGCAAACCGGAUUAGAUACCCGGGUAGUCCCAGCUGUAAACUAUGCAAACUCAGUGA